rnacentral:rRNA from 1 species
AACGAACGCUGGCGGCAGGCUUAACACAUGCAAGUCGAACGCCCCGCAAGGGGAGUGGCAGACGGGUGAGUAACGCGUGGGAAUCUACCCAGUUCUACGGAAUAACCCAGGGAAACUUGGACUAAUACCGUAUACGCCCUACGGGGGAAAGAUUUAUCGGAAUUGGAUGAGCCCGCGUUGGAUUAGCUAGUUGGUGGGGUAAUGGCCUACCAAGGCGACGAUCCAUAGCUGGUCUGAGAGGAUGAUCAGCCACACUGGGACUGGGACACGGCCCAGACUCCUACGGGAGGCAGCAGUGGGGAAGAUUGGACAAUGGGCGCAAGCCUGAUCCAGCCAUGCCGCGUGAGUGAUGAAGGCCUUAGGGUUGUAAAGCUCUUUCAGUGGGGAAGAUAAUGACGGUACCCACAGAAGAAGCCCCGGCUAACUUCGUGCCAGCCGCCGCGGUAAAAC